GCCUUCGUAUCUCUCGUCUUCCCCCAAAACCGAAACCCUAAGCGAGCCUCUCCUCUCCCUUUUCUUCUUCCAAAUUCUUCCCAAGAAAAAAAAAACUCUAGCUUUUCGGUGCCCCUAUCUUCUCAAUUCUCGCGGAGAUCCAGGGUUUUCUGCCCUAAAUCGUUAAAGAUUCGACGAUCCAAGGCGGAAGAGGAGCCUAUCUCAAGCAGAGGGUUUUCUGCCCUAAAUCGUCAAAGAUUCGACGAUCCAUGGCGGAAGAGGAGCCUAUCGAGGGUUUUCUGCCCUAAAUCGUCAAAGAUUCGACGAUCCAUGGUGAGAGAGGAGCUGAUCUCAAGCGAUUUCAAGGUAAAUUCUCCCAUCCUCAAGUUCCCAUCGCUGGAUCCAUGGUGGGGAAGUACUUCGAAGAAAAUCAAAGUUGGGAAAGUUUGUUCAGUGUAAGCAUAUAUUGAGGUUGUAUAUGUUCACUUAUUGGCACUCCCUUGAGCUUGUACCAAGGGGCUUCCUUAACUCUUCCCUAUAGCCUCGGGUUAGAACCGGAUUGACUCUAAUUUAAUAUUGAGACUUUGAAGAACAACGAGAUGCUAUGUUAUCUGAGUACUUCUAUAUGGAGUUGUACCAGUACCUGAUAUGUGUCGUACUCAUUUACGCGAAACUUCUUGGACACUCUUUUCAUAUAUGCAUAUAUUUAUUCAGACAUGUACUCAAUUAUGUAUUGACAUGUACUCAAUUAUACAAUGCAUAUUUAAUUUAAAACACUCGUCAUACAUUUCUUGCAUAUGUAUCCUACAAUUCACAUCCAUCUUAGUAAGUUGUUGGAUAAGGGUGUAGUUCAU